rnacentral:lncRNA from 1 species
GUUGUCUAAUGUUGGUGAGGGUAUAUUUAUCUGUUUUAUUGUUACUCCUUAAUCACUAUAUAUAAUCGUUUUUCAUGUGUACUUUUAACAGAGCUCAGAUUGAAGUGCAAAAAUGUAGCAAUACAGGUGAAAUCAGUAAAAAACAAACAAACAUGGUGACAUAGCAGGAAGAUAGGAAUGCCGUGAACCAAGAGGUUGUGAGUUCAAAUCCCAGGGGGUGAAUCGGCAAGACAAUAGUUUAACUGCCUUUGAACGGGGUAUGGUAGUAGGUGUCAAGUGCACCGGUUUGUGUCAAGAACUGCAACGCUGCUGGGUUUUUCACACUCAAGAGUUUCCAGUGUGUAUCAUGAAUGGUCCACCACCCAAAGAUGACCCAAAGGACAUCCAGCCAACUUUACACAACUGUUGGAAGCAUUGGAGUCAACAUGGGCCAGCAUCCCUGUGGAAACCUUUCAACACCUCAGACUCCAUGCCCUGACGAAUUGAGGCUUUUCUGAGGGCAAAAGGUGUUCCUAAUGUUUGGUAAACUCAGUGACCCAAAGGGCUUGAAUCUUUGGUGACGUAGUGUCCCCAUGAGUGACAGAACGCUGAGCCAAUCACGACGCAACGCUCCUAUUUUCAGCUGGCUUUCCCCAACACCACAGAAAGCACUGAGCUAGGCUGAAACACCUGCAUUUCGGAGCUGCCUUACUCAAGAAAACAAAGAGACCAUGUUUGUAUGACCAUGUUUUUUUUUACAUUGUUUGCAAACUGAUAUGUGAUUCGUAUUAAUGCCAAAAUGUUUAUGAGUUGCACGUGCUGUAAUCAAUGAUGAGUAUAAACCCUGGAUGACUGAUAUGGGCGCUGUAUUGAAGCGCCACAUUUUGGUACUCCUCGUCCGUUGUAAAAAGAAAUAUUUUGGAAGCCAUGGAAAUGCAUUCGUUUUUGACUAGUACAUUCUAUUACAAACACAUUAAUGCAUAUUAUGUGAACUGAACAUAAACAUUUUAUAUUUAUGGAAACCUAUUCCUUAAAGUAUUUUUUGAGAGUACUUAUGUUACUGUCC